AUUGCCCCAGUAACGGCGAGUGAAGCGGCAACAGCUCAAAUUUGAAAUCUGGCCUCUUUCGGGGUCCGAGUUGUAAUUUGUAGAGGAUGCUUCGGGUGACGGUCCGGCCUAAGUCCCUUGGAACAGGGUGUCAUAGAGGGUGAGAAUCCCGUCUGCGGUCGGCGCCUGACCCCGUCAGAAGCUCCUUCGACGAGUCGAGUUGUUUGGGAAUGCAGCUCUAAAUGGGUGGUAAAUUUCAUCUAAAGCUAAAUACCGGCCGGAGACCGAUAGCGCACAAGUAGAGUGAUCGAAAGAUGAAAAGCACUUUGGAAAGAGAGUCAAACAGUAUGUGAAAUUGUUGAAAGGGAAGCGCCUGCGACCAGACCUGUCUGCGGGCGAUCACCCGUCGUUCUCGGCGGGGUACUCGUCCGUCAGCAGGCCAGCGUCGGUUUCGGCGGCCGGACAAAGGCCCCGGGAAUGUACCUACCCUCCGGGGAAGGCUUAUAGCCCGGGGUGCAAUGCGGCCAGCCUGGACCGAGGACCGCGCUUCGGCUAGGAUGCUGGCGUAAUGGUCGUAGGCGGCCCGUCUUGAAACACGGACCAAGGAGUCUAACAUCUAUGCAAGUGUUUGGGUGUUAAACCCAUACGCGCAAUGAAAGUGAACGGAGGUGGGAACCCUCCAGGGCGCACCAUCGACCGAUCCAGAUGUCUUCGGAUGGAUUUGAGUAUGAGCAUAAAUGUUGGGACCCGAAAGACAGUGAACUACACAUGGAUAGGGUGAAGCCAGAGGAAACUCUGGUGGAGGCUCGCAGCGGUUCUGACGUGCAAAUCGAUCGUCAAAUCAGUGUGUAGGGGCGAAAGACUAAUCGAACUGUCUGGUAGCUGGUUUCGGCCGAAGUUUCCCUCAGGAUAGCAGUAACGUUUUCAGUUUUAUGAGGUAAAGCGAAUGAUUAGAGGCCUUGGGGGCGUAACGCCCUUAACCUAUUCUCAAACUUUAAAUAUGUAAGAAGUCCUUGUUGCUUGGUUGAACGUGGACAUUUGAAUGUACCGUUACUAGUGGGCCAUUUUUGGUAAGCAGAACUGGCGAUGCGGGAUGAACCGAACGCGAGGUUAAGGUGCCGGAAUGCACGCUCAUCAGACACCACGGAAAAUGAUAGAGCGAGGUUGCAUUGGAAUUGUAAAUGUGGUGUCAAAUGGGGACGAAAAGUCCCUUGUGUCAGUCCUGAACAGGGCCAGGUCUUUCAUCUGCGGAGCCAGCUGGCCAUUAACAUGGUCGGCCAAUCCGCUGCUGCUUCUCUUUGAAGCAGCCCACAGAUUAAGUGGAGACCGGCUGCAGCAUCUGUUGCGGCUCAAGAUAUAAUCGGCCAGGGAAGUAUCGCUCUCUGAUCUCGCGCAAAAAGUGUUAGUUCAUCUAGACAGCCGGACGGUGGCCAUGGAAGUCGGAACCCGCUAAGGAGUGUGUAACAACCCACCGGCCGAAUGAACUAGCCUUGAAAAUGGAUGGCGCUCAAGCGUGCUACCCAUACCUCGCCGCCAGGGUAGAAACGAUGCCCUGGCGAGUAGGCCGACGUGGAGGUCCGUGACGAAGC
rnacentral:rRNA from 1 species